CUCCUACUUCCUGGACAGCAUCCUUGUUGAAGGUUCGUGGCGAACCGUGGCAAACCGUUCGCGGCAAGUUCGCGAACGGUUCACAACAUCACUACUUUCUAACCAACAUCACUUUUCACUAUUACUUACACACCUCCAUACAACCAAUCAUACUCGCGUUCAAGUUCCUGGGACUACCUACUCAUCUGAUGAGAACAUCUACAUCAUAACUGGUAAUUAUGCUGGUUUUAUUUAAUUAAUCUAAAUUAAUUAAAAUCUAUUAAUAGCAGGAUACAUGCAUGGAUAAAUCACGAUCAGAU